UCGAAUAUAGGUUAAAACGGGUAAAAAUUGGAACGAUACACAGAAAAUUAGCAUGGCCCCUGCAGAAGAAUGAAACACACCAAUUGAAAAAUGCUUUAAUUUAUU